rnacentral:rRNA from 1 species
GACGAACGCUGGCGGCGUGCUUAACACAUGCAAGUCGAACGGAAAGGCCCUGCUUUUGUGGGGUGCUCGAGUGGCGAACGGGUGAGUAACACGUGAGUAACCUGCCCUGGACUUUGGGAUAACUUCAGGAAACUGGGGCUAAUACCGGAUAGGAGCUCCUGCUGCAUGGUGGGGGUUGGAAAGUUUCGGCGGUUGGGGAUGGACUCGCGGCUUAUCAGCUUGUUGGUGGGGUAGUGGCUUACCAAGCCUUUGACGGGUAGCCGGCCUGAGAGGGUGACCGGCGACAUUGGGCCUGAGAUACGGCCCAGACUCCUACGGGAGGCAGCAGUGGGGAAUAUUGCACAAUGGGCGGAAGCCUGAUGCAGCAACGCCGCGUGCGGGAUGACGGCCUUCGGGUUGUAAACCGCUUUCGCCUGUGACGAAGCGUGAGUGACGGUAAUGGGUAAAGAAGCACCGGCUAACUACGUG